rnacentral:rRNA from 1 species
ACGCUCGACACCUACGGGAGGCAGCAGUGGGGAAUAUUGCACAAUGGGGGAAACCCUGAUGCAGCGACGCCGCGUGAGCGAAGAAAUAUUUCGGUAUGUAAAGCUCUAUCAGCAGGGAAGAAACUGACGGUACCUGACUAAGAAGCACCGGCUAAAUACGUGCCUGCAGCCGCGGUAAUCUGAGCGGGCUGGCAAGGC